rnacentral:rRNA from 1 species
UUUUAACGCUGAGGUGUGAUGACGAGGCACUACGGUGCUGAAGUAACAAAUGCCCUGCUUCCAGGAAAAGCCUCUAAGCAUCAGGUAACAUUAAAUCGUACCCCAAACCGACACAGGUGGUCAGGUAGAGAAUACCAAGGCGCUUGAGAGAACUCGGGUGAAGGAACUAGGCAAAAUGGUGCCGUAACUUCGGGAGAAGGCACGCUGGUGUGUAGGUGAAGUCCCUGCGGAUGGAGCUGAGACCAGUCGAAGAUACCAGCUGGCUGCAACUGUUUAUUAAAAACACAGCACUGUGCAAACACGAAAGUGGACGUAUACGGUGUGACGCCUGCCCGGUGCCGGAAGGUUAAUUGAUGGGGUUAUCCGUAAGGAGAAGCUCUUGAUCGAAGCCCCGGUAAACGGCGGCCGUAACUAUAACGGUCCUAAGGUAGCGAAAUUCCUUGUCGGGUAAGUUCCGACCUGCACGAAUGGCGUAAUGAUGGCCAGGCUGUCUCCACCCGAGACUCAGUGAAAUUGAACUCGCUGUGAAGAUGCAGUGUACCCGCGGCAAGACGGAAAGACCCCGUGAACCUUUACUAUAGCUUGACACUGAACAUUGAGCCUUGAUGUGUAGGAUAGGUGGGAGGCUUUGAAGCGUGGACGCCAGUCUGCGUGGAGCCAACCUUGAAAUACCACCCUUUAAUGUUUGAUGUUCUAACGUAGGCCCCUGACCGGGGUUGCGGACAGUGUCUGGUGGGUAGUUUGACUGGGGCGGUCUCCUCCCAAAGAGUAACGGAGGAGCACGAAGGUUAGCUAAUCCUGGUCGGACAUCAGGAGGUUAGUGCAAUGGCAUAAGCUAGCUUGACUGCGAGCGUGACGGCGCGAGCAGGUGCGAAAGCAGGUCAUAGUGAUCCGGUGGUUCUGAAUGGAAGGGCCAUCGCUCAACGGAUAAAAGGUACUCCGGGGAUAACAGGCUGAUACCGCCCAAGAGUUCAUAUCGACGGCGGUGUUUGGCACCUCGAUGUCGGCUCAUCACAUCCUGGGGCUGAAGUAGGUCCCAAGGGUAUGGCUGUUCGCCAUUUAAAGUGGUACGCGAGCUGGGUUUAGAACGUCGUGAGACAGUUCGGUCCCUAUCUGCCGUGGGCGCUGGAGAAUUGAGGGGGGCUGCUCCUAGUACGAGAGGACCGGAGUGGACGCAUCACUGGUGUUCGGGUUGUCAUGCCAAUGGCACUGCCCGGUAGCUAAAUGCGGAAGAGAUAAGUGCUGAAAGCAUCUAAGCACGAAACUUGCCCCGAGAUGAGUUCUCCCUGAGACUAUAAGUCUCCUGAAGGAACGUUGAAGACGACGACGUUGAUAGGCCGGGUGUGUAAGCGCAGCGAUGCGUUGAGCUAACCGGUACUAAUGAACCGUGAGGCUUAACC